UAUUGGUAACCUCGACCGGUUAAGCAAAAAAGGCAGGAAAGUCAUUGGCUAGCCUUGUUAGGUGCUGACUAAGACUGUAGAUGAGCCAUUAAGUGUUUGAAGUGUUACAGGCCAAAAUAGAAAAAAAUUGUACUUUUUUUUUUUUUUACUGAUUUUGUUUAUUAAUACACAUGCAUAAAUACUUUUUCUUUUUUUUUUUUACUGAUUUAAGUGUUACAGGCCAAAAGAGAAAAAAAUUUUAUGAGCAUAUUGGUAACCUCGACCGGUUAAGCAAAAAAGGCAGGAAAGUCAUUGGCUAGCCUUGUUAGGUGCCGACUAAGACUGUAGAUGAGCCAUUAAGUGUUUGAAGUGUUACAGGCCAAAAUAGAAAAAAAUAGUACUUUUUUUUUUUUUUUACUGAUUUUGUUUAUUAAUACACAUGCAUAAAUACUUUUUUUUGUUUUUUUUUUUUACUGAUUUAAGUGUUACAGGCCAAAAGAGAAAAAAUUUGUAUGAGCAUAUUGGUAACCUCGACCGGUUAAGCAAAAAAGGCAGGAAAGUCAUUGGCUAGCCUUGUUAGGUGCUGACUACGACUGUAGAUGAGCCAUUAAGUGUUUGAAGUGUUACAGGCCAAAAUAGAAAAAAAUAGUAAGAGCAUAUUGGUAACUUUGACCGGUUAAGCAAAAAAGGCAGGAAAGUCAUUGGCUAGCCUUGUUAGGUGCUGACUAAGACUGUAGAUGAGCCAUUAAGUGUUUGAAGUGUUACAGGCCAAAAUAGAAAAGAAUAGAACUUUUUUUUUUUUACUGAUUUUGUUCACCAAAAUAUAUGCAUAAAUACUUUUUUUUUUUUUUUUUUUAAACUGAUUUUGUUUAUCAAUAUACAUGCAUUAAUACUUUUUUUUUAACUGAUUUAAGUGUUACAGGCCAAAAUAGAAAAAAAUAGUAAGAGCAUGUUGGUAACUUUGACCGGUUAAGCAAAAAAGGCAGGAAAGUCAUUGGCUAGCCUUGUUAGGUACUGACUAAGACUGUAGAUGAGCCAUUAAGUGUUUGAAGUGUUACAGGCCAAAAUAGAAAAAAAUUGUACUUUUUUUUUUUUUUUACUGACUUUGUUUAUCAAUAUACAUGCAUAAAUACUUUUUUUUUUUUAACUGAUUUUGUUUAUCAAUAUACAUGCAUAAAUACUUUUUUUUUUUUUAACUGAUUUUGUUCAUCAAUAUACAUGCAUAAAUACUUUCUUUUUUUUUUUUAACUGAUUUUGUUCAUCAAUUUACAUGCAUAAAUACUUUUUUUUUUUUUUUAAACUGAUUUUGUUCAUCAAUAUACAUGCAUUAAUACUUUUUUUUUUAACUGAUUUAAGUGUUACAGGCCAAAAGAGAAAAAGAUUUAAGAGCAUAUUGGUAACCUCGACCGGUUAAGCAAAAAAGGCAGGAAAGUCAUUGGCUAGCCUUGUUAGGUGCUGACUAAGACUGUAGAUGAGCCAUUAAGUGUUUGAAGUGUUACAGGCCAAAAUAGAAAAGAAUAGUACUUUUUUUUUUUUUAACUGAUUUUGUUUAUCAAUAUACAUGCAUAAAUACUUUUUUUUUUUUUUUAAACUGAUUUUGUUUAUCAAUAUACAUGCAUUAAUACUUUUUUUUUUAACUGAUUUAAGUGUUACAGGCCAAAAGAGAAAAAGAUUGUAUGAGCCAAUGUAACCUCGACCGGUUAAGCAAAAAAGGCAGGAAAGUCAUUGGCUAGCCUUGUUAGGUGCUGACUAAGACUGUAGAUGAGCCAUUAAGUGUUUGAAGUGUUACAGGCCAAAAUAGAAAAAAAUUGUAUGAGCAUAUUGGUAACCUCGACCGGUUAAGCAAAAAAGGCAGGAAAGUCAUUGGCUAGCCUUGUUAGGUGCCGACUAAGACUGUAGAUGAGCCAUUAAGUGUUUGAAGUGUUACAGGCCAAAAUAGAAAAAAAUAGUACUUUUUUUUUUUUUUUACUGAUUUUGUUUAUUAAUACACAUGCAUAAAUACUUUUUUUUUUUUUUUUUUUUACUGAUUUAAGUGUUACAGGCCAAAAGAGAAAAAAUUUGUAUGAGCAUAUUGGUAACCUCGACCGGUUAAGCAAAAAGGCAGGAAAGUCAUUGGCUAGCCUUGUUAGGUGCUGACUACGACUGUAGAUGAGCCAUUAAGUGUUUGAAGUGUUACAGGCCAAAAUAGAAAAAAAUAGUAAGAGCAUAUUGGUAACUUUGACCGGUUAAGCAAAAAAGGCAGGAAAGUCAUUGGCUAGCCUUGUUAGGUGCUGACUAAGACUGUAGAUGAGCCAUUAAGUGUUUGAAGUGUUACAGGCCAAAAUAGAAAAGAAUAGUACUUUUUUUUUUUUACUGAUUUUGUUCACCAAAAUAUAUGCAUAAAUACUUUUUUUUUUUUUUUUUUUAACUGAUUUUGUUUAUCAAUAUACAUGCAUUAAUACUUUUUUUUUAACUGAUUUAAGUGUUACAGGCCAAAAUAGAAAAAAAUAGUAAGAGCAUGUUGGUAACUUUGACCGGUUAAGCAAAAAAGGCAGGAAAGUCAUUGGCUAGCCUUGUUAGGUACUGACUAAGACUGUAGAUGAGCCAUUAAGUGUUUGAAGUGUUACAGGCCAAAAUAGAAAAAAAUUGUACUUUUUUUUUUUUUUUUUUUUUUACUGAUUUUGUUUAUCAAUAUACAUGCAUAAAUACUUUUUUUUUUUUUUUUAACUGAUUUUGUUUAUCAAUAUACAUGCAUUAAUACUUUUUUUUUUUUAACUGAUUUUGUUCAUCAAUAUACAUGCAUAAAUACUUUUUUUUUUUUUUUUUAACUGAUUUUGUUCAUCAAUUUACAUGCAUGAAUACUUCUUUUUUUUUUUUUAAACUGAUUUUGUUCAUCAAUAUACAUGCAUUAAUACUUUUUUUUUUAACUGAUUUAAGUGUUACAGGCCAAAAGAGAAAAAGAUUGUAUGAGCAUAUUGGUAACCUCGACCGGUUAAGCAAAAAAGCCAGGAAAGUCAUUGGCGAGACUUGUUAGGUGCUGACUAAGACUGUAGAUGAGCCAUUAUUGAUACUGAUUUUGUUUAUCAAUAUAUACAUGCAUUAAUACUUUUUUUUUUUUUAACUGAUUUUGUUCAUCAAUAUACAUGCAUAAAUACUUUUUUUUUUUUUUUUUAACUGAUUUUGUUCAUCAAUUUACAUGCAUGAAUACUUCUUUUUUUUUUUUUAAACUGAUUUUGUUCAUCAAUAUACAUGCAUUAAUACUUUUUUUUUUAACUGAUUUAAGUGUUACAGGCCAAAAGAGAAAAAGAUUGUAUGAGCAUAUUGGUAACCUCGACCGGUUAAGCAAAAAAGCCAGGAAAGUCAUUGGCGAGACUUGUUAGGUGCUGACUAAGACUGUAGAUGAGCCAUUAUUGAUACUGAUUUUGUUUAUCAAUAUACAUGCAUUAAUACUUUUUUUUUUUUUAACUGAUUUUGUUCAUCAAUAUACAUGCAUAAAUACUUUUUUUUUUUUUUUUUAACUGAUUUUGUUCAUCAAUUUACAUGCAUGAAUACUUCUUUUUUUUUUUUUAAACUGAUUUUGUUCAUCAAUAUACAUGCAUUAAUACUUUUUUUUUUAACUGAUUUAAGUGUUACAGGCCAAAAGAGAAAAAGAUUGUAUGAGCAUAUUGGUAACCUCGACCGGUUAAGCAAAAAAGCCAGGAAAGUCAUUGGCGAGACUUGUUAGGUGCUGACUAAGACUGUAGAUGAGCCAUUAAGUGCUUGAAGUGUUACAGGCCAAAAUAAAAAAAUAAUGUAUGAGCAUAUUGGUAACCUCGACCGGUUAAGCAAAAAAGGCAGGAAAGUCAUUGGCUAGCCUUGUUAGGUGCUGACUAAGACUAAGACUAAGAUGAGCCAUUUAGUGUUUGAAGUGUUACAGGCCAAAAUAGAAAAAAAUAGUAAGAGCAUAUUGGUAACUUUGACCGGUUAAGCAAAAAGACAGGAAAGUCAUUGGCUAGCCUUGUUAGGUGCUGACUACGACUGCAGAUGA
ensembl:lncRNA